GAUGAACGCUGGCGGCGUGCCUAAUACAUGCAAGUCGAGCGAACAGACGAGGAGCUUGCUCCUCUGACGUUAGCGGCGGACGGGUGAGUAACACGUGGAUAACCUACCUAUAAGACUGGGAUAACUUCGGGAAACCGGAGCUAAUACCGGAUAAUAUAUUUAACCGCAUGGUUCUAUAGUGAAAGAUGGUUUUGCUGUCACUUAUAGAUGGACCCGCGCCGCAUUAGCUAGUUGGUAAGGUAACGGCUUACCAAGGCGACGAUGCGUAGCCGACCUGAGAGGGUGAUCGGCCACACUGGAACUGAGACACGGUCCAGACUCCUACGGGAGGCAGCAGUAGGGAAUCUUCCGCAAUGGGCGAAAGCCUGACGGAGCAACGCCGCGUGAGUGAUGAAGGUCUUCGGAUCGUAAAACUCUGUUAUUAGGGAAGAACAAAUGUGUAAGUAACUAUGCACGUCUUGACGGUACCUAAUCAGAAAGCCACGGCUAACUACGUG
rnacentral:rRNA from 1 species